GACGGAGGGUGCUAGCGUUUGUUCGGAAUUACUGGGCGUAAAGGGCGCGUAGGCGGCCCUGUCAGUCGGGUGUGAAAGCCCGGGGCUCAACCCCGGAACGGCACCCGAGACGGCGGGGCUGGAGACCGGGAGAGGAGGGUGGAAUAGCCAGUGUAGAGGUGAAAUUCGUAGAUAUUGGCUGGAACACCGGUGGCGAAAGCGGCUCUCUGGCCCGGUUCUGACGCUGAGGCGCGAAAAGCGUGGGGAGCAAACAGGG
rnacentral:rRNA from 1 species